rnacentral:rRNA from 1 species
GACGAACGCUGGCGGCGUGCCUAAUACAUGCAAGUUGAGCGCUGAAGGUUGGUACUUGUACCAACUGGAUGAGCAGCGAACGGGUGAGUAACGCGUGGGGAAUCUGCCUUUGAGCGGGGGACAACAUUUGGAAACGAAUGCUAAUACCGCAUAAAAACUUUAAACACAAGUUUUAAGUUUGAAAGAUGCAAUUGCAUCACUCAAAGAUGAUCCCGCGUUGUAUUAGCUAGUUGGUGAGGUAAAGGCUCACCAAGGCGAUGAUACAUAGCCGACCUGAGAGGGUGAUCGGCCACAUUGGGACUGAGACACGGCACAAACGCCUACGGGAGGCAGCAGUAGGGAAUCUUCGGCAAUGGACGAAAGUCUGACCGAGCAACGCCGCGUGAGUGAAGAAGGUUUUCGGAUCGUAAAACUCUGUUGGUAGAGAAGAACGUUGGUGAGAGUGGAAAGCUCAUCAAGUGACGGUAACUACCCAGAAAGGGACGGCUAACUACGUG